rnacentral:rRNA from 1 species
CAAUAGCGUAUAUUAAAGUUGUUGCGGUUAAAAAAGCUCGUAGUUGGAUUUCUGUUGGGAACGACCGGUCCGCCCAUUGGGUGUGUAUCUGGCUUGUUCUCGGCAUCUUCUUGGUGAACGUUGCUGCACUUGACUGUGUGGAGCGCUACCCAGGACUUUUACUUUGAGGAAAUUAGAGUGUUUCAAGCAGGCAUAUGCCUUGAAUACAUUAGCAUGGAAUAAUAAGAUAGGACCUCGGUUCUAUUUUUGUUGGUUUCUAGAGCUGAGGUAAUGAUUAAUAGGGAUAGUUGGGGGCAUUCGUAUUUAACUGUCAGAGGUGAAAUUCUUGGAUUUAUGAAAGAUGAACUUAGGCGAAAGCAUUUACCAAGGAUGUUUUCAUUAAUCAAGAACGAAAGUUAGGGGAUCGAAGAUGAUCAGAUACC